rnacentral:lncRNA from 10 species
CCAACUUGGGAUUGUUUCAUUCAUCAGAUCUACCAUUGUCUCUGCUAGCUGCAAAAAAGUCUGGGAAGGAAGAAGCAAAGAAGUCUAAGUUCUUUGGAGUAAGAUGCUCUCAAAUGCCUAGGAACACUGAUCUCCUAACUUGUCUUCCUGCUUUGAGUGUCCCUCUGAGGUUAAAGUUCCUGCCUCAGUCUCCAACAAUGACUAUAAGCCUCUCUGGGCAAGAUCCACGUCUUACUCAUUUUUGUGUCUGCAGUUUAGUUCCUGGUUCAUUGUAGGUUCUCAAUAAACGUUUGUUAGAAUGAGUUGAUCUCUUGGAUCCAGUGCCCCAGAAAGAUAUGUAAGUACUAUUUUUAUCCUUUCCCAUUGUGUGUCCACCUUCUCUCCAAUCCUAGAUCACCAAAAGUGAAGCAGAAGUGAUGAGAGUAGCAAUUUGUAGUAUCAAAACGACUUCUUAUAGUGCACAGAAAGCCCAGCACUGUCUCGUAUGGGAGACUCGUGGUUCUGCCACUGUCUUGCUGGGUGACCUGAGAUAACUUCUUUUCUCUCUGGGUCUGAUUCCUCACAGGUCAUUUCCACUGCUGCCCACUGAGGAGUGCCACUGGAGAUGAUCUCACAACAAAGAGAGGGGGAGAGGCUGCUCCUCCCGUCAGAAGAUGGAGACUGCUUCCUUGCCCUUCAAUCCAAGCUGGCUCAUGACUUGCUUCAAUGAAUAGGAAAUGGCAGAAGUGAUGCUCUGAGGCUUCUGGGCCUAGACUUUAAGAGGUGUUGCCCCUUUCCUUUUUCCCUCUUGGGAUCCAGCCUACCACAUAGAGAAGUUUGGGUUGACAACUAAAUGUGAGAGAGAGACAGACAGAGAGAAGAGGGAGAGCUGAUUCAGCUAGACCUUAGUCAUUCCAGCCAUCCUAGCUGAAGCACUAGCAUGUGAAAGAAGCCACCUUCUAACCUAUCAAUCAGAGCCCCCAAUUUUACUGACCUCAGUCAACACCAUGUGGAACAGAACUACCCCAGGGAGCCCAACCAACCCAUACAAUCAUGAGAAAUUAAAAACUGAUGUUGUAGCCUCCUGAGUUUUAAGGUAGUUUGUUACACAAAAAUACUGGAAUUUUGACCCACCUUCACCUCCAAUGCCAACCUAGUAAACCUGGAUAUAUCUUUCAAAAUUUGGCUCAAGUGUCAACUCUUUCAUGAACCCUCUGUAUCCUUUUCUUGCUCAUUCAAGCCCUAUUUUCUCUUCUCCUCCCCAAAAUUCCAUAGUACUUUGUAUUACAAACUAUGUGCUUACAACCCCCAAAGUCUCUGGGCAUCCAGAAGGCAGAGAUUUGGCUUAAUUCAUUUUUGCCUCUGCCUAGCCUAACACCCGGCACAUUUAGAUAUUUAGUUAUUGUUUGCUGAAUGAAUGGAUGCAUGAAGAAGAAAAUUUAACAGAUGAUAUCUACAGGCACAUCUGGCUCCAAAAUUGAAUCAUGUCAUCUAGCAAUGCUCAGUAAAGUUAACAUAAGCAAUUUC